rnacentral:lncRNA from 1 species
GAGGCGGUCUAGUCUAGUAUGGACUAAGGUCGCAAUAUGGCCAAGCUGAGAGAGGCUGUGGCUGGUUAAGGAAUGAUCCAGUAAUUGGUGGCUGGAAUCAUAAACCUUAUUGUCCGCGAAGGACUUAAGGGAACAAAACAAUCUGUUAGAACUCAUGGUAGAGUGAUCAGCCUAAAGAUUGGAACAUGUUCGCUAGGACUUGGCUGGUGCAUCGAGUGGCUUAGAGAUUGGUUGAAUCUACUAAGACUUGAGUACACAGUAUGUUCCUAGGGACUGAAUUUGAUCUAGUCGUGGACUAAGAUCUGAAAAAGAAUGAAGUCUAGAGUAGACGACAUUCUAAAGAGAGAUAUGGACUUGGUGUCUACAAGGACCGCAACUUGGAGAGUUGGGUCAGUGACACCAGUCAUGUCCUUGUAUGGGUGCUUGAUGGACCACUUGAUA